rnacentral:rRNA from 1 species
AUGAUGGCGUGCACGGAUAUCUUCACGGCCUUCGGCAACCUCUCCUUGAGCAGCAGCUGUAGCAGCAGCUUGUCCAAGCCGAUGCAGUUGGAGUUCAUAUAUAUUUCUCCAAAAAUUAUACUCUCACUGUGCGCCGCCGGAUUCGAGGGUGGGGCCCGAGCCUCCACUGGAGCAUGGAUCAGCCGUGCAGGAGGUGGAGCUCCGCAUGGAUCACGACUUGGUCGUUGUGGGGGCCUGGACCAUCAAGCUCGCGGGCGAGAUGGACGGCCUCGGCAACGGAGGCGCGCGUGA